rnacentral:rRNA from 1 species
UAGCCGCAGAAUACUGUGCUAAGGUAGCAUAAUCACUUGUCUUCUAAUUAAAGACUAGAAUGAAAGACUUUACGAGCAGAUUUCAUAACUUAAUUAAUUUUACUAAACUACACUAAGCAUAAAAAUGUUCUUAUUCACCAAAAAGACGACAAGACCCUACUGAACUUAACCUUUGUUUAACUGGGGCAGUUAGUUAACAAACUCUUAAUAUAUUACGCCCCCUACACAGCCUCCACAAGAAUAAACAAGUUACCAUAGGGAUAACAGCGCAAUUUCUCUCCCUAGCUCGUAUACAAAGAAAAGAUUACGACCUCGAUGUUGAAUUAGUGAUUCUAAGAGAAGCAACCUUCUCAGAGAAAGUCUGUUCGACUUUUAUACCACUACAUGAUCUG